CCUUUUCCUCAUGCUUCCCAACUGGCUGCUUGUGGCCAUCCUGGCCCCCCUGGGGUGCACCCUGAAACAGUCCCCUGACACAGUCAUCAGAGUGGGCCAGUCUGUCACCCUGAGCUGUUCUGACAUGAAGACAGAUCACUACUAUAUGUACUGGUAUAAGCAGGCAGAAGGGAUGGACAGCAGGCUGCAGCUUGUGGUUUAUGCAGCGAAAACGGGCAAAGAAGAGUUUGAGAAGAAUUUUGGUGAUGGUCGCUUCAGGAGCACUGGCAUCCAGGCUGAGGGUCUGUCUCUGUCAAUAGAUGCUGCCUCACUCAAUGACUCUGGCACUUAUUACUGUGCUGAGCAAGAUACACAGUGA